CUGUGGCCCGGUUCAAGUAAUCCAGGAUAGGCUGUAUCCGCUCCAGCUGGCCUAUUCUUGGUUACUUGCACUGGGAGGCAG
rfam:Buceros rhinoceros silvestris contig53732, whole genome shotgun sequence.